ACACAAGCAUUGAUGUUUAUUUAUACGAUCACAAGUUGAAUACCACUGUAUGUACGACAGAAAUGACCAGCCAAAAGAUGCUGCUAAUUUUCAUUGUAUUUCUUCUACAGAUUUCAGAUACCACUGGGAGCGAGUGUUCCGAUGCUGCAGAAUCGAAAAAUAUACCUUAUAUCCGGAUGUGUGAGGAUGGCAGCGUGACGUCAGAC